CCAAACAUCUGUAACAAUGCAUACUCAUGUGUUGUUAUUUCGGGAGGGUUUGGAAGUGGUCAUAUACCUUCAGGUGCACUGGUGGAACUGAUCAGAAUCACAAAACCAGGUGGAAUGAUAAUUAUCGUGAUGAGGGAAGAAUACUUAGAUAUAGAAGAGUACCGUGACAGCCUGGAACCUCUGAUGGAG